rnacentral:lncRNA from 1 species
UUCUUUCAUUGCAUUGAUAGAAGUGAGACUAUCAAAAGGUCUCUCUAUUUUUUAGAGAAAAGAGUUGGCGUGGGUUCUACCAACGAAACGAAGAAGUUUUUGAUUGGUCUUUUUCAUGCGGAAAGAUAGUAUGUAAGAAAAGAAGAACUAGCGUACCUGGAAUCACGUUUCCUUGACCUCACUUCGUUUCUCAUCUCAUCAACCACUACGAUAAUCUUAGGAUAGAGGGAAGGGGCGAG